rnacentral:rRNA from 1 species
ACGGAAGGCAGCAGUGGGGAAUAUUGCACAAUGGGGGAAACCCUGAUGCAGCGACGCCGCGUGAGCGAAGAAGUAUUUCGGUAUGUAAAGCUCUAUCAGCAGGGAAGAAAAUGACGGUACCUGACUAAGAAGCUCCGGCUAAAUACGUGCCAGCAGCCGCGGUAAUACGUAUGGAGCAAGCGUUAUCCGGAUUUACUGGGUGUAAAGGGAGCGUAGACGGCGUAUCAAGUCUGAUGUGAAAGGCCAGGGCUCAACUCUGGGACUGCAUUGGAAACUGGUAUGCUUGAGUGCCGGAGAGGUAAGCGGAAUUCCUAGUGUAGCGGUGAAAUGCGUAGAUAUUAGGAGGAACACCAGUGGCGAAGGCGGCUUACUGGACGGUAACUGACGUUGAGGCUCGAAAGCGUGGGGAGCAAACAGGAUUAGAUACCCUGGUA